UACUAAGUCAAUUAGGCCAAGCCGGGUCAUGUUGGCCCACAAACACCUUUUUUUUCAUCUUCUCUUAGACAUAUAUCUUAUGUUUCUCUCUCUGCUCUCUCUCUAAGCUCUCUCCCUAACGGUAACAAAAUUUUAGAUCUAGAUCUAAGUUUGUGUCCCUGAGUUUGAGAUCGAGCUGAGAUUGAAAGUUUGAGUAUUAGUCGGUGUAUUAAAGGCAGUCAGUAUAUUAAAGGCCCUACUAUUAAAGACCCCUUUUGAUAUCCUUUGUAUAGAUAACUGGCAUCCCUUGAUAUGCUUAUGUAUAGAUCUAUUUAUAGGGCCUUUGUAUUCUUCUCAAUUACAAUCAAUAUACAAUCUAUUCUCUGAUUCACAUGGUAUCAGAGCGGGUUUGCCCUUGCUUUAUGCUGCCACCCUGUCCACAAACACAAAUUAUCACCUUUUAAAUUUUCAGAUCUUGUUUCUGACGGGAGAGCUUACAACUUUUACCUCCGCUGAGAAAACUGCACACAACUCUCAUAACUAUUUCGUGAUGUUCAUUUGCAAUUUGGUUGCUGGUUUUCUGUCUUCAUAUCAUAUUAAUCAAUAAAACGGGAGACUUGCCGGGUGAUUAGGGAAUGAGUCAAAAUGUUUGAGCAGGUCUAUAACGGCUCAAUGCGUGUUCAUAUUCAUUCAGCCUAAAAAGCUAUGAAAAUAACAUGACACAUCGUCAAUAACCCUCCAGUCACCGACACGCAUUAGGGUUCAUGCAUCAUGCAUACCGUGGUCACUUUUGUUACUUACAGUUGAACUUCAAAGGCAGCAGCCUCGAAAGGAAAUAAAAGUGUCAAGGUGGACAUGGCUAAAUGCAUUUUGAGUUUGCAAAAGUAACAUGGGACCAAGGCCUGGAGAUGUUCCGGUGAAAGGGAGCUAGUGACCAUGUUUUUGUUGUCAAUGGUAGUUCAUGUCUUCUUUUUAAGUUUUAUACCAUUGUGAAUUGUUUGAGAUGAUGUACCUUUAUAUUUGAUGUUUUUUUUUUGUGUUUGAUGUGUCGUAUUAUUUGAGGAUGGUGUUAAGUGUAGUAUUGCUUGACUAAAAUAACUCGUUUGUUUGUAUUAUAUGGGCUAUGU